rnacentral:tRNA from 1 species
GGCCUCGUAGCUCAGCUGGUAGAGUAUACGCGUACAAAGCGUAGGUGGCAUCCAUGCGUGGGUUCGAAUCCCACCGAGGCCA